UGGUCGCUCCCCAACCUCUAUGAAGCUUCUUCACUUCACUGCUCCUGCUCUCUCUCUCUCUCUCUCUCUGACAAUGCUUUCUUCUGCCGAAAAUCCAUGUCCCUUUGCUGCUACACUUGCCCGUUCCUCAGCUUUUCAUCAUCAAGCUUCUUCCUUUUCCUUCCCUUAUUUCACAAGCUGAUGAACUUCUCUGAAGUUGAUGGACAAUGAGGACUUAUUUGGGGAACACCAGAAGUUUCUGAGUUAAGAUUUCUCUACUUAGGCCUUUGAGGAAUGAGAGAUGUAAUGGGUUUUCCUCCAGCCUCUAGGAGUAAAUGUCCUUUCUUUCGUUCUUGGCAUUUCG
rnacentral:lncRNA from 1 species